GCAUCGACUCUGCGGACUCCUCGCCUCUCCCUGCUGGCUUUGGUGGUGGCACUGGUGCGCUGGCGGGGGGUGGGGGGACCUCGCAUUAGCUCCGGGUCUGUGGCAGAGCAGCAAUUGCAAUUCGGUGAUUGAUUUACUCGGGAGCACCAGAAAGCCCGACUAGCUCAGCAGCUCUUUAUGACAUCUGGCACACACUAACUUGCUUCCAGCUCGGCUCGUAGAGCUGGGCUCUGUCCUGCUUUGAAACUAGCCCCAGCUCCUCAAUUACCUUCUGCCCUUAUUCAUGCCCUGCCAAUUCCUCUUUGCUGGAAUCUGAAUGAAGCUACUGCAUCUGCCAAGGCCAAGAAGCUGCUGUAAGGACUUGUGGGGCUCGCCUUGGAAGUGAAGGUGGCAUUUAGAAUCAGGUUUCCCUGGUCUUAAAAAGAAGGUUGGCUGUUAUCUGACUUCUGGCUAAGCAACUUUUUUGGGUUUGGAAUGUGAUCAGCCAACUUGUUGCUCCUGCUCCCAUCCUAUACCUUCCUUAAAAUGGGCUCUAUCCCUCAGAAACAAUACAGGGAAGUCAAAUCUUCCCUAAGUUACUCUUGGUCAUCAUAUUUUUACCACAAUAGCAAAAGGAACUUGGCUGUUUGGGAAAGCAAGGGAACACUCAGUCGGGAUGUUUCUGGGAUCAAUCACAAUGGCCAGAGUGAAAACGUGUCUGUCGAUAUAGCGCCGGACUCCAUUUUCCACUCAGCAUCGAUGCGGAAAUGAAAGCUAAUGCACAUGGAACAUCUUACAGAAUAAACAAAUGAGAAAUUA